rnacentral:tRNA from 1 species
GCCCUUUUAGCUCAAUUGAAUAGAGCAUCUGACUUCGGAUCAGAAGGUUAGAGGUUUAAAUCCCCUAAAGGGCGCCA